UACUGCAUGGAGUGCAGUGGUUAGCAUUUCUGCCUCACAGCAAGAAGGUUGUGGGUUCGAAUCCGGCCUGGGGCCU